rnacentral:tRNA from 1 species
AAGAUCUAAGUUAAGAAAGACGUUGGACUGUCAGACCAAAGACGCGGGUUGAAAUCCCGUAGAUCUUG